AAAUUGAAGAGUUUGAUCAUGGCUCAGAUUGAACGCUGGCGGCAGGCCUAACACAUGCAAGUCGAACGGUAACAGGAAACAGCUUGCUGUUUCGCUGACGAGUGGCGGACGGGUGAGUAAUGUCUGGGAAACUGCCUGAUGGAGGGGGAUAACUACUGGAAACGGUAGCUAAUACCGCAUAACGUCGCAAGACCAAAGAGGGGGACCUUCG
rnacentral:rRNA from 3 species